CCUCCACCUGGCAGCUGCUGCACACCUUGGAGUCCCCAGGGGCUGCUGAAGGCUAGCUCCAAAAUGCUGCGGGAUCCUAAAGAAAUGCAAAGUGAGUCAUUCGAUCGCCAGGCAACAUUGAAUCCCAACCUCGGUCCAGCUGGAGUUCAGGAUGUCAAGUUUGGCAGAGCCUUACCUGCAGAGCUGUCUCCUUAUCUGCUUUUUGAGACAGCAUCUCAAGUAGCAGGACAGCCUGGAACUCACUAUAUAGCUGAAGAGGACCCUGAACUCCGACGUGCUGGGAUGAUGGGCAUGCGUCAUAGCCAGCUUGUCUUUAGCAAGGGAUUCUUAGUGGAGACUGGCACAGCAGCUCGAAAAUGCUUUGUUGAAUUCACACAGGAAACAACUACAGACAGAAGAGGGAAAAAGAAUGGGAGGCACUGGGGUGGGGGCACCAGAUAAUAACCUUCUGGAGUCAAGCUACCCAGUGCUGUGGCUCUCCCCCAUUAGCUGAGUGAAGAAGGAUGAGGAUGUUA